rnacentral:rRNA from 1 species
UACGUAGGGUGCAAGCGUUAUCUGGAAUUAUUGGGCGUAAAGAGCUCGUAGGCGGUUUGUCGCGUCUGCUGUGAAAACUGGAGGCUCAACCUCCAGCCUGCAGUGGGUACGGGCAGACUAGAGUGCGGUAGGGGAGAUUGGAAUUCCUGGUGUAGCGGUGGAAUGCGCAGAUAUCAGGAGGAACACCAAUGGCGAAGGCAGAUCUCUGGGCCGUAACUGACGCUGAGGAGCGAAAGCAUGGGGAGCGAACAGG